rnacentral:rRNA from 1 species
GUGAGGAAUAUUGGUCAAUGGAGGCAACUCUGAACCAGCCAUGCCGCGUGAAGGAUGAAGGUCCUCUGGAUUGUAAACUUCUUUUAUAGAAGAAGAAACCCCAGUAUUCUUACUGGGUUGACGGUACUCUAUGAAUAAGCACCGGCUAACUCCGUGCCAGCAGCCGCGGUAAUACGGAGGGUGCAAGCGUUAUCCGGAUUCACUGGGUUUAAAGGGAGCGUAGGUGGGUUGGUAAGUCAGCGGUGAAAUCCCCGAGCUUAACUCGGGAACUGCCAUUGAUACUAUCAAUCUUGAAUACUGUGGAGGUAAGCGGAAUAUAUCAUGUAGCGGUGAAAUGCUUAGAUAUGAUAUAGAACACCGAUAGCGAAGGCAGCUUACUACGCAGUGAUUGACACUGAGGCUCGAAAGCGUGGGGAUCAAACAGGAUUAGAAACCCCGGUAGUCC